UUUAUGUAUUUUAGGUUUUAGUUUGUUUAUUUGGUUGCAUUGUGUCAAGUCUGUUGGAGACAUUGGUGCAAGGACAUGAGAUUUCUGAAAGCCAAAAGAUGACUAAUGUUGCCAAGGAACUCCUAGAGUUGAGCCCUGAAGUUUUGAUGGUCUUCGAGAAUGGUAAGAAAA